CCUACGGGAGGCAGCAGUGGGGAAUAUUGCGCAAUGGGCGAAAGCCUGACGCAGCGACGCCGCGUGAGGGAUGAAGGUCUUCGGAUCGUAAACCUCUUUCAGCAGGGAAGAACAUUCAUUUUGCUAAUCAUCAGUGAAUUGACGGUACCUGCAAAGGAAGCACCGGCUAACUCCGUGCCAGCAGCCGCGGUAAUACGGAGGGUGCGAGCGUUGAUCGGAAUUACUGGGCGUAAAGCGCACGUAGGCGGUCUGUCAAGUCCAGGGUGAAAGACCCGCGCACAACGUGGGCAAGGCUUGUGAAACGGGCAGACUAGAGUGUGAGAGAGGAUAGUGGAAUGCCAGGUGUAGGGGUGAAAUCCGUAGAUAUCUGGAGGAAAAGCAGUGGCGAAGGCGACUAUCUGGCUCGUAACUGACGCUGAGGAGCGAAAGCGUGGGUAGCAAACAGGAUUAGAUACCCGUGUAGUC
rnacentral:rRNA from 1 species